GAUGAACGCUGGCGGCAUACCUAAUACAUGCAAGUCGAGCGAACAGACGAGGAGCUUGCUCCUCUGACGUUAGCGGCGGACGGGUGAGUAACACGUGGAUAACCUACCUAUAAGACUGGGAUAACUUCGGGAAACCGGAGCUAAUACCGGAUAAUAUAUUGAACCGCAUGGUUCAAUAGUGAAAGACGGUUUUGCUGUCACUUAUAGAUGGAUCCGCGCCGCAUUAGCUAGUUGGUAAGGUAACGGCUUACCAAGGCGACGAUGCGUAGCCGACCUGAGAGGGUGAUCGGCCACACUGGAACUGAGACACGGUCCAGACUCCUACGGGAGGCAGCAGUAGGGAAUCUUCCGCAAUGGGCGAAAGCCUGACGGAGCAACGCCGCGUGAGUGAUGAAGGUCUUCGGAUCGUAAAACUCUGUUAUUAGGGAAGAACAAAUGUGUAAGUAACUAUGCACGUCUUGACGGUACCUAAUCAGAAAGCCACGGCUAACUACGUG
rnacentral:rRNA from 1 species